UACGGAGGGGGCAAGCGUUGUUCGGAAUUACUGGGCGUAAAGGGCUCGUAGGCGGCCAAGUAAGUCGGAUGUGAAAUCCCCAGGCUUAACCUGGGAACUGCAUCCGAUACUGGAUGGCUUGAAUCCGGGAGAGGGAUGCGGAAUUCCAGGUGUAGCGGUGAAAUGCGUAGAUAUCUGGAGGAAUACCGGUGGCGAAGGCGGCAUCCUGGACCGGCAUUGACGCUGAUGAGCGAAAGCUAGGGGAGCAAACGGG
rnacentral:rRNA from 1 species